ensembl:ncRNA F01E11.13 ncRNA
CUGCAAACCAAACUCUAUCUUCAAAAAUACUUAUUGACCAAUAAAUUGGUUGGUGGGUGAGCAGAAAUACCCGACCCAACUUCCGAAAUGCAAUUUGCAAGCAUUUCGAUGCCACCCAGACCCACUAGGGGCCAUAA